CGGGCAUUCCUUGAUCUUUCUUUACACUUCAGCACUAUGCGGAAACCUUUUGUUUUAGGACUGAGAAGAGAAAACAGGAGGGAGAAGCCCCCAGGCUGUACACUAGGCAGAAAGAAACAAGUGUGUUGGGAGGCAGAUUGCUAUCAGGCUGGCAGCUCCUGGGAUGCUCCAGGGAUGCGGCUUCACACGGGGCUGCAGCCUGGGUCUGAAACUGCCCCCAGACGCGGCUGUUCCUGCCUGGUUUCCGUGUCAGCCGAUCAGAACAGAAAGUUGGAGCCGAUAUCCCGGCUGUGGCUCCUCUACGAAGGGCUGCCGGCAGCUGCUGUGACAGCCCAGCCCGUGUGCCACCGAGAUCACAUCGCCCAUUCCCGGAAAGACUCCUCACUGCUGCACUAACAGGCACCUGCAAAACGUGAACAUCUCAGGCGAGUGCGGGAUGGGGGCUCUGGCGAGGGCUGAGCGCCAGGACCCAGCCCAGGUUUUAAUCGCUGCCGCGAUGCAACCCGCAGCUCCCAGCCCUGCAGCUCGGCACAGGGAGGAACAACUGCCUUGAGCCCGACUUGUUAUAGCUGCUAAGAGCAUGAAAAAUGAAGCACGAAGGAAAUCACAAGAUUAUGCUAAAUGAUGAGCAUCAUCCCUGAGGUGGGCAGGUUUCACAGAUCUAUCCUGUGUGACAGCAGCAGGCUGGGGAGAACCUGAUUUUGAAUGACACAGAGUGCAGAGCAUUGUGAGUCGAGGACACAGGCUGCAAUCAACAAGAACCAGUGAGAUAAAACAGAUGCUCAGUGUACACACUGUCCAUGGAGUGUGAAGGAGCUCUCCAGGUGAGGCAUGCCUGGACAAGGUGUGCUCCACCUGUAAGCACAAUGCUGCUGGCUGGCCACUGCCAUGCAGCCCAUGGAGAAAUGCCCCAGGGGCAGGAAAAGCUGGCACUCCUGGAGCCCAGGCAGCAUUAAGGAUAGAAUCUGCUGUGUCCUGCUGGCAGAAAAAUGUCCCACUGUAUUUGCCAGAGCCACACGGUGAGAGGGUGCUCCUCACAGACUGGCUUUGACAUGGCAAAUACCAACACAGCCUCUGCUCUUGGCAGCAUUUCAGAGCAGGACUUUCACAGGGAUUAACUGUUCCUGAACAAUUUCUCCAAUAUAUAAGAUACAAAUGUUCUUUUCUUCCAAUCAGUCAUGCAGGUCUUUCUUGUACAAACACUGUGGCCAGUAAAGGGAAAAUCCUGCCCUCGAGUUAUGCCAAAUGCCCUCAGUGCUCCUGUGGCAGUUCCAUGGGUGCUGAUGGAGAGCAGGGGUGUGUUCCUCAGGGCACAGGGUCUCUCCAGCACUUUGUCCCUGCACACCUGCUCUCAGGAAGAAAACCUGUACCUGAGAUCUUGUCCUUCUCUAAGGAACCAGCAGCCAGAACUCAACAAGUCCCAAUUCAAACCCAUGUUGGUGGUGCUCCGUCAGAAACCAACGGAUGUUUCCUGUCUCUGUUAAAAAUACUCAUAUUGUCGCCUGUGGUGGCAAGUAAAGGACAUGGCAACUCCUAGACCCCCAGUCUGCUCUGGAACAGGGGUUCACAGGCAUCAUAAUUUCUACUGUGGCAGUGUUUGAGUUUUUUGUCAUUAACAACACCUUGAUUUUGCAUCAGAACUUGGUCCUCUGGCUUGUGUUUCUCAGACUGUACAUAAAUAUCACAUUUGCACCAGUUCUAUCAGAGAUUUUUAUGAAUAGCUGCCAUCGUAAACUGAUAAACAUCUCUAAAUUUUUCUUUUAUUUUGAUUUCAUGUUGAUGUGGCUAUCAAAGCUCUACCACAUCAAAGCAAAUGUUCAUCAAAGUCCAUAGGAUUUCUAAUGUAAUCACCAUCCAAAACCUGAAAGAAACAUUAUGGGAAGGAUUAGUUUGGUUUCAGACAACUGAAUUAGGCAACUGAAUUAAACAAAAUUCCCAUUGAUAUUCAGUAGCAUUUUGGCAGAUAAGUCCUAGAAGCCCUCUGGAAAUCCUGGACCAGGCCAGUGGGUGAUGCACCAUUUCAGCACUGUGCUCAGUAAUUUUAUCCUCAAACAAUUUUAGUUAGGGGCACUCCCAACAUCUAUCUCACAAAUUACUGGUGGAGUCACAUCCCCUGCAGCACUGCUAGGAUAUUGUAUCAUGCAUCUUUUUUAGCUUAUGACUGGAAAAGAUAAGAUCUGAAAAGAAUUUGGAGGUGAGGUAGGUGAUGAAAUUCUGGUGCUGUGUUUGAAUACAUCAGGCAGGAAUUGUUUUGAGUCCUGAAUAUGUAUUUGAUUUCCACAGGCUUCCAGGUGAGCAUCUUUUGCAGAGAGAGUACAAGCACUGAUAUGCAGAUAGAACACAAUAACUAUCAAUAAUCCAAUGACACCUGAAAAAUCAGGGAAUACAUUAUUCCAUAAUAGCAGAUGAACUAAGAGCCAUUCAUUUCUCUAACAUUAGAUGCCUGUGUUGUCUCAAGCCUGGUUCAUAUGCAUAGGUAAAUAUGAGUUAAAUCAUCUCUUUCAGGACGCUUAUCAGCCUCUGCUGCUCUUUGCACUGAAGGUGUAAUAACAGUCAUAACAGCAGGGACAAGGGCAUGGACACCACUGCAGUUUUGACCUUUCUCCAGCUCCUUGGUGGUGAUCUGGCAAGGGCAUACUUUUAUUUAAUCCACACCACUGGGCAUUGUUCCUUUGGUGUUUAGUGCAGGUGUGAACACAGGCAGUUGCUUAGAUGAAUAUACAGAAUAAAUGCAGUUUAGUCAUCACGUAUGAUAAACUGUGGGAAAAGCAGCGAGCUGCUGCGACACUCCUGGUGGCAGUAGCUUUAUGGAAAUGAGGACACAAGGCAGUGAUUUUCUGUAAGGCCCACUAGGUAAAUUCUGGGAAGCAGGUAACCAGGUUAGGUCCUAAUGAGACAAGCACAGAUUGCACAGGUUGUGCUACGUCUUGCUGAGGCACAAGUGGGUAGUAGCAAAUGGACAUGCUGGGAUCUGCUUGCUGGCUCCCAAGCUGGGAGAAAGGUAACCACAAAAACACAGAGAGUGGAAAAAAUUAUUCCAUGCUUUUAGGGCACCUACAUCAAACACAUCGGGGAAGCAAAGUUCCAACACAGGAAAACAGAGAGCAGCACUACUUUCUGAUCACUAUUUUCUGAUGGCUCGUCUGCUUGCAGGUUAGUCAGACCUGCCUGUUCACUCCUGCAUGGAGAGCAAUCUGCCAGAGGAGCUGCCAAAUUAUCCUGACAUCUUACAGUAGGCAGCCUGUUACCUGAACAUGAAACAGGCUUUGCUUUGUGGAGAGGAUCCCCUCUGUAGAAGCCUUGCAGCGAGGCAGCACAGCUCCUGUGACAGCCUCUGCUACACCAGCCCUGUGCUGAGGUGGGGUGUGAGGCUCACAGCUGAAAUGUGCCUUUCUCAUCCCUUUUAUGUCACAAUGCAUCUGUAUUUCUAGGCAGGAGCACUUUCCCUUCUUCCAUUUUACCUUACAAUGAAGCAAAGCAAACAAAGAGGUAGCAAGCCCCUGAACAUCAAGGGGGAGAAUACACACAUAUUCUGGGGCUGUCCGGGUUAUAGACCCGCGCUGGUGUGACACAGCAGACGCAGCUUCCCCAUUGUCCUGGUGACCCCAGCUGAGCUGGCAGGAAUGGCCCUGGGCGGGGGAGAGAAGGAUCAGCUGUGGGCCUGAUCCCAGCUGCACCAACCAGCUUUGUGACAGGCAAUAAAGGGCCAAAGAAAAGACUUUUGUCCUUGAUUGCGAGAGCGACGAAGCUCCUCUCAUUGGCAGG